GAAGGUAUGGCUUAGUAGUCAGAGCGCUUGAGAGUUCCCAAGAGGCGCGGGUUCAAUACCGUUGUUUUCA
rnacentral:tRNA from 1 species